GGUAAAUGACGUCGGGUCCAGGGCGCCUUGAAAGCGCCUGGUGGGGAAUCGUAAAUCCCCUUUACCA
rnacentral:tRNA from 1 species